rnacentral:rRNA from 1 species
AUUGAACGCUGGCGGAAUGCUUUACACAUGCAAGUCGGGCGGCAGCAUGGACUUCGGUCUGAUGGCGAGCGGCGAACGGGUGAGUAAUGCAUCGGAACGUACCCAGUCGUGGGGGAUAACGUAGCGAAAGUUACGCUAAUACCGCAUACGUCCUACGGGAGAAAGCAGGGGAUCGCAAGACCUUGCGCGAUUGGAGCGGCCGAUGUCUGAUUAGCUAGUUGGUGGGUAAAGGCCCACCAAGGCGACGAUCAGUAGCGGGUCUGAGAGGAUGAUCCGCCACACUGGGACUGAGACACGGCCCAGACUCCUACGGGAGGCAGCAGUGGGGAAUUUUGGACAAUGGGCGCAAGCCUGAUCCAGCCAUUCCGCGUGAGUGAAGAAGGCCUCGG